AGGUGGGCAGCAGGGCCCUUCCUUUCCCCACAGGCAGGGAACACUUGUGUUUCCUUUGUUUACUUCUUUAGCUUAUGUCUUCCGCGAUGAAACGGUAACUUCCUGAACGCUCUGCAGUUCAUCGCUACACUCUUCCUCCAUAUCUAGAACGUGGCCUGGCACAUAUUAGAUGCUCAAUCAUCAUUUUAAAAUAAACGAGUAGUGAUCCAUUCAAGUAACGUGGAUAAACAUCAACAACAACAGCUGCUUUCAGGAAAAAAGGGCAGACUCUGAAUUAUGAAGAAUGUGAGAAACUUAGAUCAGUAUCAUGAAGAUUGUGUACUUUUACUUUUUAGGGCAGCUUUAUUGAGGGACAAAUCACCCAUUUUAUUUUUUAGUUUUACUGAGGUAUGAUUGAUAUAAAAAAUGGCACACAUUUAAGGUAUACAUCAUCAUGAGUUAAGACAUAUGCAUGCGCCCAUGAUGCCAUCGCCAUAACCAAAGGUUAAAUAUAUCCAUUAAAUAUAUCCAUAUCUCCAGAAAUUGCCUUGUGCUAUUUUGUAAAUCAUCCAUUUAAAAUUUAUAAUUCAGGCUGGGUGCAGUGGCUUACACCUGUAAUCUCUCCACUGAGUUCGAGGCAGGAGGGUCACUUGAGCCCAGGAGUUUGAGACCAGCUUGCACAACAUGAUAAGACUGUCUCUACAAAAAAUUUAAAAAUUAGCCAGGCAUGGUGGCGCACACCUGCAGUCUCAGCUAUUCAGGAAGCUGAGGUGGGAGGAUAGCUUGAGCCAGGGAGGUCAAGGCUGCAGUGAGCCCUGAUCAUAACACUGCUGUCCAGCCUGGGUGAUAGAGGGAAACCCCCAUCUCAAAAAAAAAAAAAGUGCUAAUUUCUACUAGACUUCUCGUUAGUUACUGUAUCAGAAGACAUGUAAAAAUUAUAGGGCAGAUCAUGAGUGUUGAAACUUUGAAUAAUUGUAUUUCCCCAAGUGUUUAUUUUUGCAAUCUCUUGUUAUAAUUUGCACCACUUCCUUCCCCCAGAUUAUGUUUGUGCUUGUUUGUACUGGAGAGCAUGGAAGAGCUCACAGGAGAAAUUGUGCCUCCUUCGCCAUCCAGGGGAUGUUGUAUAGGAAUCAAGAGCUUGGUAGACAGAAGUCUUAGAGGCGGAGCUGCCUAGAUUCAAAUUCUGACUCUACCACUUCCUAGCUGUGGCAAGUGACUAAACCUCCUACCUAAGAGUCACGCGGGCUGGAGUACAGUGUCAUGAUCACAGCUCACUGCAGCCUCAACCUCCCAGGCUCAAGCAAUCUUCCCACCUCAGCCUCUCAAGUAGCUGGGACCACAGUUCUGUGCAUUCUGUGGCAAGACAACAAAUAGAUGGGAUGAUUUCUGUGGAAGUCUACAGGUGACAUUUAAUCAUGGCUACAGUAUUUCAUGUGAGCACAAAGAACAAGCCAAGACUCAUUUGGGGAAAAAAUUAAUCAUUCAUCUAAUAAAUGUCUUUUGAAUGCCUGUCAUAACCAGGAACAGAGCCAGGUACGUGAUGAACAAAUAGGCUGGUCCCUGCCCUGAUGAAAGUUAUAGGCUAGUGUGGUCACAGACUAUGAACGAAUAAACAAAUACAUAUAGACAAGUCAUCAUCCCUCAUCAAUUAUUUUGAUAUCACAAAGACUCUGAAAAGUAUUUUUUUAACCCCUUUAGCAGUAAAACCUAAUUUGUAUUAAAAUAAAGCAUUAUUUAUUUGUCUAUCCAAAAAAAAAAAAAAA
rnacentral:lncRNA from 1 species